CAUGGAGGGAGCUGCCUGCAUGUUCAAGUGGUCUUGGGCUGCAGCAGACAGGGAGCCCAGCCUGCUUUGGGGGUGCUGCAGGCUGGGAGCUGCUUAGGACACGAUCAGCACACAUCUGUGCCAGUACCAUGGCUGCUUGGGGCACCUGGUGAACAGCUCCUGGUGGAACAAGCAGUCGACGCAGACGACACUCAUCACCAGCAAAAUGAGCAUCUGCCAGCACGAGCUUUCCAAACUCAGAAACACCAUCCACAAGAUGAAGCAGCGACCAGCAGCACGGUCCCCGUCCCCCUGUGAAGUAGCCUGUCCCUUUGCCGGCACCGGAUGGAAGGAGAUCGCUGCCGGGCCCCAGCUCUCUAAGGAGCUUCUUGAGUACUUGAAGGAGCUGCAGUCCCCCUGUGGCUGAAGACAGUCUGUGUGUGUGUGUGUGUGUGUGUGUGUGUGUGUGUGUGUGUGUGUGUGUGUGUGUAUAUAUAUAUAGAGUGGUGUGUUUGUGCAAAGCUCUGUGUGUGGGUGCACAAGAAGAACAGUUAUGAGACCAUGGCUUGGAUUUUCCAACAUAUGCUACUGAUGUCUCCUGCGUCCCUUGGUGUGCUGCUAAUACCUUUGCUGUUAAUAAUUAUAUUUAAUAACUAUUGUCUCUCUCAACUUCCCCCAGAGGCCGCACUAGGUGGCAAGUAUAUUUUUAAA